rnacentral:lncRNA from 1 species
CAGACUCUGAGCAAAGAAAAUAAGCAAGGACAUAAUAUCCCUACUGUAUAAACAAUGCACUGAUAAACUGGAAACAAUGCCCUGUCCGACACGCUUAUAAUGCCCUGCUGCUUAGGGAUGUGCAAUUCCAUUAAACUCACUUUCCUUGUCAACACAAGUGGAAUUUGUUUCAAAUUAAUGACAUGUAGGGAUUUCAGUGUUUGUUGGUCAAAUUUACCUCUCUCCCUGAGAGAACAUAUGGAAAUGAGGAGCUGUAUCUUUUAUCUCUGUGACUGAUAUGACCUCACCAUAUGGACAUGCUUACUCAGAAUAAAGUCUGGAGGAACUUUGUUGAAUUCACAUAUUCUCAACCCUGUCAGAGGAGGACUCUAAUUGACAGGGCUUCUCUAAGAAUAGGUGCCCUUUGCCAUUCCAGAAACAUUUCUUUCUGUAUAGAGAAGGUCAAAAAUAUUCUCACUCACCAGUGAAUAGGUUUUGUGUUGACAGUUUCUGAUGCCAGUGGGGACUUAUUAAAUUAGUUUCCAUCAAACUCUGAAAAAUUUUAAAACAUAUCUCAAGGUGGGCACCCCACAUAUACUCCGGAGAAGCAUAUUUGGAGAAAAAUUAAUAUCCUAACUAAGGCUGCAUGGUCCUACCUAAAUACAGAGACUGCCUUUCCGGAAUGAUCAACUUCAUUGAAAUUUGUUUUGUCUGAUCCUUGUCAUGUAUCAUACAGCUUUUAUCACUGUUCAAAGAAAAUGGAGUACAUGAGUUUUCUGCUUUCUUUAACUUUAGAGAAUACACUUUUUACUUUAUAUUUUGCAAGCUGAUACCUAUAAAAUAAAGUUUUUAAAUAUUGGCUUAACUUUUUAUAAUUACCCAUGAUCCCUGUAUUAAACAAUAUGUAAAAACACAAAGAAAGCAAUACAUUUCCCUAAAUAUCUAGAAGUAACCAUUGUUAACACCUGAUUCUAGAGUUUUGCUAAAUAGGUGGAUGAAUAGAUAAAUAGAAAUAACUCCAUAAAAAUAAAUAAUACAUACACUUUAAAAAGUAAAAAGUGAUAUGUAUCAGUUUACUUUCAUUUAACAGAUGAAAAAUAAGGUAUAAUAAGAGGGCUAGGAUCUCCAAAUUUUAAAUAAACAUUUUUCCUUUUCUUUUUGCUGCAAGAGAUAUUACUUUAUUUUUAUAAAUCUUCAGGUAAAGGAUCAUGAAGAACAUUAAGAAAUUGAAGUCAUGCUUUAAACAUUAUUUAGUUUCAAUUAAUAGAAAUGAAAGAAAAUUAAGGGACAUUAGCCCUCUUACAUUCAGUAUUUUUAAAAUUACUUUUCUACUUAUAUUUCUAACAUUCUAGUCUGUAAUCAUAAUUCUUAUACUUGUUUAGUGCGAUUGUAUAGUUAAAAUGUUUAAUGUUCCCUACCAGCUCCUCAAUUCCUAUGCUCUUUAUGUUUUUAUUUAGCUAUUUCUUGGAUGAAUUUCAUCAUCUACCUCUUCUCAAUUUUCUGCAAAGUAUUUCUGUAUUCCCUGAGAAUUUUUCUUAUUUGAGAAAGUUUGCCUAUUGCCUUUCUAGCCUUAGAGGGAUUUUUUAAAAUUAUUUUUUAUGGCACACUCACAACAUGUGGAAGUUCCCGGGGCCAGGGAUCAACUCUGAGCCACACUUGCAAUUUAUGCCACAGCUGCAGCAAUGCUGAUCCUUAACCCUCUGUGCCACAGCAGGAACUCCUAAACCAUUGUAUUUUGAUAUUCAGUGUUGCCAUAUAUUUUCUCACAGCUAUAAUUUACCACAAUAUUAAUUAUACCAGCUAGGUGAUCAUUUUACAUAUUUAUUGGAACUAUCUUUCCUGGAAACAUCAAUCAUCCUUUUAUUUGGCCUAGUUGCUCUUCAGGGCUGCUGUAUAUCAACAUCUUAAGACUCCCUUUGCUGUCAUCCUUCACCAUACUCUGUGCUGGUGUCCCUAAUGAAAGACUCUUAUACCAUCCUCUUCAUUGGUCUGUUUUUGGGCUUUGGCCAAGCCCUCUCUGAAGUAGCAUCAUCAGUCUAGAAAGACUGAGGAUAAGCUGAGGAUGUCCAGAUACCUAUCUUUGGGGUCAUACUGCUCCAGUUUCAACUGGUUGUCCUCUAUGGUCAUCACCAUAGGCUCUCCCCUCUUAACUGUCCUGGAUAUUGUCUUCCUCUUGUGGGGUUGGAUCACUGUUGUCCUUUAGGUUAUUGUUCCAUUUCAUAUUGGUUCUUGGUUUAUUCUUUCAUUUUGGUAGAAUUUUCUUGCUUCCAGUAGUGCCAAUAAAAUCUAAUUCUGAUUCUUGAGCAUUAGGUCAUGACUUCAUCUUUAAAACUUUAUGAAGUCUAUUCCUAUUAUUCCUGGAAUUCUAAAAAUUCUUGAUGAUAUGGUAUUGGUGAGAGGAGUUCUUAAGUGAUUUUUCUACUUCUUUUUUUUUUUUUCUCUUUUUCUCUCAGGCAGCUGUUACUAACUACUCAGAUAUUAAAUCUUCUGGACCAGGUUUUUAUUACCAAAAUCUAAUGACUUUUUUUCCUAAUGGUGCAAAAUAUGUAUUUGCAAAGCUGUAGGACUGAGUAUCUAAUUUUCUUACUCUUACGAAGUCUUACAUUUUAAAAUAAUUUUAAUUGGUAAUUUGAUUUUUAAUGAAAUGAAUAUAUUUUAAAAUUGCAUUUUAGUUAGCAAAUUUGACUGUCUUACUCCAGACACAAUAUUGUGAUGUACAGUGACAAUAUCUUUAAAUAAAAAUAAUAUAUAUGGUAGGUAUUUCUAUUUGUUUUAUGGUAUAAAUACUGAACACCAAUUCUAUUAUUUUUUUAUAUAAUGAUUUUUAUUUUUUUCCAUUAUAGCUGGUUUACAGUGUUCUGUCAAUUUUCUGCUGUACAGCAUGGUGACCCAGUUACACAUGCAUGUAUAGAUUCUUUUUUCUCACAUUAUCAUGCUCCAUCAUAAGUGACUAGAUAUAGUUCCCAGUGCUACACAGCAGGAUCUCAUUGCUUAUCCAUUCCAAAAAAAUAUAGAACGCUUCACAAAUUUGCAUGCCAUUCUUGCACAGGGGCCAUGCUAAUCUUCUUAUAUCGUUCCAAUUUUAGUGUAUGCGUUUCCGAAAUGAGCAUUAUUAUUUUUAAUAUUUAGGGGAAUUAGGAAUCUAGGGCACAUGAUUUACUACCAUAUUUUCUAUGUAACAUUGAGAACCUUAAUAUUAAGAAUAUCCAACUUUAUUUUUAUUAUCAGAUGUCAAUUUAUCUGUUUUGAUUUUGUCUGAUAUAUAUUUUUAAAAAAAACAUUUUUCCCAACAGUGAAUCUCUUUUAGAAAUAUCCAGCUUUAGGGGAUAACAAAUCACCUAACAGGAGAAGAAGAAAGACAAUGCUUGGAAUACUGAAUCAAGGAAUUUAUUGUUGGCAAGAAUAUUUGGCUUGUUAACCUAAUAAUAUACCUUAAGAUAAAACAAAUUAGUUACACUUCAAAGAAGAAAAUACAUGGCAACUGAUGCCAAUAGUUUAAAAUACAUUAUUGACUGCAUUUAAUAAAUAAAUAUUAUUAUGGGAUUUUUUCAAACCUGAUUAUUAUUGUUAUUACUGUGGACAUUUUUCCUUAUUUUUUUUCUAAAAGGGAUUCCUCAGUCAUAGAAAUAUGUUUUGAGAGGAUUUUAGAGUCCAUUACAACAUCCUUAUUGUUCAACUCUCAUUUUUGUUAGUCACAUAAACUGUUUUCUCAGCUUUUUUCUCACAGUGCAUCCAUUCUCUAAGAGAGAGACAUUGGGCACUGCUGGUUUGGAAUAAAAUGUACUACCUAUUAAUGAGCAGAGCUUUGCUAUUUAGAAAUUGUACCUGGCCCCACAGUUAUCUAAAUGUAA